rnacentral:rRNA from 1 species
AAUAUUGGACAAUGGGCGAAACCCUGAUCCAGCCAUGCCGCGAGUGUGCAGAAGGUCUUCGGCUUAAAACGCACUUUAAGUUGGGAGGAAGGGAAGUAAGUUAAUACUUUUCUGCUUUCACGUUAUCGACAGAAUAAGCCCCGGCUAACUUCGUGCCAGCCGCCGCGGUAAUACGAAGGGUGCAAGCGUUAAUCGGCAUUACUGGGGGUAAAGCGCGCGUAGGUGGUUCGUUAAGUUGGAUGUGGAAGGCCCGGGCUUAACCUGGGAACUGGAACCAAAACUGGCGAGCUAGAGUACGGUAGAGGGUGGUGGAAUUUCCUGUGUAGCGGUGAAAUGCGUAGGUAUAGGAAGGAACACCAGUGGCGAAGGCGACCACCUGGACUGAUACUGACACUGAGGUGCGAAAGCGUGGGGAGCAAACAGG